rnacentral:lncRNA from 12 species
GUAAUUUUGCACAAGCAGAGCUGCUUUCUUACGGCCUCUGUUGCCCCCGCAGGUCGGCGAGCCGCAGCGGGAACCCAGCAGCCUCGGCCCUCGCUGUCCCUCGGUUCGGAGCCCUGUCCUCGCCGCGGGCCUGCUCGGCCUCCGCCUGCCGCGGCUCCCCGGGGCCUGACUCGGAUGUAACCGAUGUUAAAGAACGGAGUGUUUCAAACGUUAGAAAAACUGCCGAACUUUCUGAAUAAUGCUUGACGUAGAGACACGAGAGAGCAGAAGGCAGAAGGAUGCCAUGGCAUUUUAUGUUCACAGCCACCCAUCACCCUUUGAACUUCCUUGGCACCCAUCCCUCUAGAAGGCGAGUGUUGUCUUCAGGCUCUCACCGGUGGGUAAGCUGAAGCACGCCGGGAUUAAGUAACUUCUCCAGUGCUAGAUCCUUCAGCUACAGGGCGUAAAACCCUAAAGUGGAUAUCACAAUUCCCAGUUGCCACCAAAGCUGCCUGCAACAAUGUCCUUCGAUUUCGUAAACCAUGGCACGUGUUAGCAGCACGUAAACAAACACCCUUAGCGCCAAGUCAGUUCUGCUUCGUCGUUGGCACAGUUUUUCACUAAAACCAUGUCAUCGUAUGAUGAUAACAUCAAAGG